GACGAACGCUGGCGGCGUGCCUAAUACAUGCAAGUAGAACGCACAGUUUAUACCGUAGCUUGCUACACCAUAAACUGUGAGUUGCGAACGGGUGAGUAACGCGUAGGUAACCUGCCUGGUAGCGGGGGAUAACUAUUGGAAACGAUAGCUAAUACCGCAUAAUAUUGAUUAUUGCAUGAUAAUUGAUUGAAAGAUGCUAUUGCAUCACUACCAGAUGGACCUGCGUUGUAUUAGCUAGUAGGUGAGGUAACGGCUCACCUAGGCGACGAUACAUAGCCGACCUGGGAGGGUGGUCGGCCACACUGGGACUGAGACACGGCCCAGACUCCUACGGGAGGCAGCAGUAGGGAAUCUUCGGCAAUGGACGAAAGUCUGACCGAGAAACGCCGCGUGAGUGAAGAAGGUUUUCGGAUCGUAAAGCUCUGUUGUAAGAGAAGAACGGGUGUGAGAGUGGAAAGUUCACACUGUGACGGUACCUUACCAGAAAGGGACGGCUAACUACGUG
rnacentral:rRNA from 1 species